rnacentral:pre_miRNA from 1 species
AUAUAAAUCACCUGGAGAUCUUGUUAAAAUGCAGACUCUCAUUUACUUGGUCUGGGAUGGGGUCUGAGAGCCAGCAUUUCAAACAAGCUCCCAGGUGAUGCUGAU